CCAAUAGCGUAUAUUAAAGUUGUUGCAGUUAAAAAGCUCGUAGUUGAAUUUCGAGAUCGGUUUAUUGGUCGUGCUAUUGUACGUACUGGUAUUACCGGUUUCUCCUUUCUGACGAACAUUAAUGCCAUUAAUUUGGUGUUUUGGGAAAUCAGGACUGUUACUUUGAAAAAAUUAGAGUGUUUAAAGCAGGCUCACGCUUGAAUACAUUAGCAUGGAAUAACGGAAUAGGACGUUUGAUUCUAUUUUGUUGGUUUCUAGGAUCGACGUAAUGAUUAAUAGGGAUAGUUGGGGGCAUUAGUAUUCAAUUGUCAGAGGUGAAAUUCUUGGAUUUAUUGAAGACUAACUACUGCGAAAGCAUUUGCCAAGGAUGUUUUCAUUAAUCAAGAACGAAAGUUAGGGGAUCGAAGACGAUCAGAUACCGUCGUAGUCUUAACCAUAAACUAUGCCGACUAGGGAGCGGAUGAUGUUAAUUUUUUAAUGACUCAUUCGGCGCCUUACG
rnacentral:rRNA from 1 species